GACGAACGCUGGCGGCGUGCCUAAUACAUGCAAGUCGAGCGAAACGGCGGAUGGGUGAGUAACGCGUGGGUAACCUGCCCUUAAGUCUGGGAUACCAUUUGGAAACAGAUGCUAAUACCGGAUACUAAAGGAUGGACCUGGGUUGACUUAGCGAGUUGGCAAGGUAACGGCUUACCAAGGCGAUGAUGCAUAGCCGGGUUGAGAGACUGAUCGGCCACAUUGGGACUGAGACACGGCCCAGACUCCUACGGGAGGCAGCAGUAGGGAAUCUUCCACAAUGGACGAAAGUCUGAUGGAGCAACGCCGCGUGAGUGAAGAAGGUUUUCGGAUCGUAAAGCACUGUUGUUGGUGAGGCGGUAAUCAACCAGAAAGUCACGGCUAACUACGUGCCAGCAGCCGCGGUAAUUC
rnacentral:rRNA from 1 species